rnacentral:rRNA from 1 species
ACGAACGCUGGCGGCGUGCUUAACACCUGCAAGUCGCACGGAAAGGCCUCUUUCGGGGGGUACUCGAGUGGCGAACGGGUGAGUAACACGUGAGUAACCUGCCCUUGACUUUGGGAUAACUUCAGGAAACUGGGGCUAAUACCGGAUAGGAGCUCCUGCUGCAUGGUGGGGGUUGGAAAGUUUCGGCGGUUGGGGAUGGACUCGCGGCUUAUCAGCUUGUUGGUGGGGUAGUGGCUUACCAAGGCUUUGACGGGUAGCCGGCCUGAGAGGGUGACCGGCCACAUUGGGACUGAGAUACGGCCCAGACUCCUACGGGAGGCAGCAGUGGGGAAUAUUGCACAAUGGGUGGAAGCCUGAUGCAGCAACGCCGUGUGCGGGAUGACGGCCUUCGGGUUGUAAACCGCUUUCGCCUGUGACGAAGCGUGAGUGACGGUAAUGGGUAAAGAAGCACCGGCUAACUACGUG